rnacentral:rRNA from 1 species
GACGGAGGAUGCAAGCGUUAUCCGGAAUUAUUGGGCGUAAAGCGUACGUAGGCUGUUUUAUAAGUCUGUUGUCAAAGCCCGAGGCUUAACCUUGGAAAGGCAAUGGAAACUGUGAGACUAGAGAGAGAUAGGGGCAGGAGGAAUUCCAGGUGUAGCGGUGAAAUGCGUAGAUAUCUGGAAGAACACCAGUGGCGAAAGCGUCCUGCUGGAUCUCAACUGACGCUGAAGUACGAAAGCUAGGGGAGCGAAUGGG